rnacentral:lncRNA from 1 species
UCGUUGUCGGUGCAGCGCUCAACCUCCUUUCGUGCCAUUGGUGUCCCUGAACCUGUCGCAGCCCCCGCGUGUCGUCGCGCGUUGUGGUCAAGCCUGUGGCUAGCGGCGGCGGCAAGACCGACAUCACCAAGGUUGGCCUGAACUCCAUUGAGGACGAGGUUGUCAAGAUGAACCUGAUGGGCAAGUCCCGCUUCAUGAACAACAAGGAGUGGAAGGACUCGUCCGGUCGCAAGGGCAAGGUAAGGUUGGGGCAUUCGAGUCGGCCACUUUUCCUUGCUUGUUGCUUCCCUUAUCGGACACGUCGUUCAAUACAUGCUCAUAUUUGCAUCUAUAAAUAAUUUAAGCUAAUCAUCUAGACUAUUUUAUAGAUUUCAACUUGUUGAAUCCUGUUUUGUGCGUUGCGCGCCUGGAAGGAUCGCCGUGCUCUCAUAGCUUAUGACCUCCCCAUCCUUACAGGGCUACGGUGUCUACCGUUACGCCGACAAGUACGGCGCCAACGUGGAUGGCUACUCGCCAAUCUACACCCCGGACCUGUGGACUGAGUCGGGUGACUCCUACAAGCUGGGCACCAAGGGCCUCAUUGCCUGGUGCGCCGGGGAUUGUAUGACUCAGACUUGUUGAAAUGUAGGGGAAAGGGCUGCAAGUUCAACAGUAUUUGAGGGUUUAUGGAGGGUUGUUGAGCUUUUCCGCAGCAUUUAUUUGAAACGUUGCAUGUCUUGCUGCAAUGCAGGGCUGGCCUCGUCCUGGUUCUGCUGGCCGUCGGCGUGAACCUGAUCAUCUCGACCUCGCAGCUGGGCGCGUAAAGACUCUGACAUGAGCCUUUUGUGUAUUAGCGUGAUGAGAUGUCCCUGUCUAGAGAAGAGAAGGAUGUGUUUCCCUCUGGAAGGUUUUGCCCCGACGUUGGGCGGAAAGGAU